rnacentral:sRNA from 1 species
GCUGGGCAUAGUGGUGCAUGCCUAUAAUCCCAGUGGCUCAGGAGGCUGAGGCAGGGGGAUCAUGAGUUCAAAGGCAGCCUCGGCAUUUUAGUGAGGUCCUAUGCAAUUUAGUAAGACCCUGUCUCAA